rnacentral:rRNA from 1 species
UACGAAGGGGGCUAGCGUUGUUCGGAUUUACUGGGCGUAAAGCGCACGUAGGCGGAUCGUUAAGUCAGGGGUGAAAUCCUGGAGCUCAACUCCAGAACUGCCUUUGAUACUGGCGAUCUUGAGUCCGGAAGAGGUGAGUGGAACUCCUAGUGUAGAGGUGGAAUUCGUAGAUAUUAGGAAGAACACCAGUGGCGAAGGCGACUCACUGGUCCGGUACUGACGCUGAGGUGCGAAAGCGUGGGGAGCAAACAGG